rnacentral:rRNA from 1 species
CCUGUUUAUCAAAAACAUAGCCUCAAGGGCCAUAAUUUGAGGUACAACCUGCCCAGUGGCUAAGCUAAACGGCCGCGGUACCCUGACCGUGCUAAGGUAGCAUAAUCACUUGCCUAUUAAUUGUAGGCUAGUAUGAAUGGUCAAACGAAAGCGAAACUGUCUCUUCUACAACUAUAAAAACUAAUCUUUUAGUGAAAAAGCUAAAAUCACCAUAUAGGACAAAAAGACCCUGUAGAGCUCAAUUUAAUGCCGUGCUAACAUCUACUUAUAAACAUUCUCCACGGAUAAAUAAUUUGGUUGGGGCGACCCAGGAAAACACAAAUCUUCCUUAUCAACAAAGAAUCAUCUUUCCACCAAAUGAACCUAAUCUACGACAAAAGAAAAGCUACCUCAGGGAUAACAGACUAAUUUUCUUCAAAAGACCAAAUUUACAAGAAAGCUUGGCACCUCGAUGUUGGCUUAGGUUCCCAUUUAAAUGCAACAGUUUAAACAGGAGGCUUGUUCAUCCUUUAAUUACCUACGUGAUCUG